rnacentral:rRNA from 1 species
UACAGAGGGGGCCAGCGUUAUUCGGAAUUAUUGGGCGUAAAGGGCGCGUAGGCGGCUUUGCGUGUCUUUCGUGAAAUCCCUCGGCUCAACUGAGGACGUGCGGAAGAAACUGCAGGGCUGGAGUCCGGGAGAGGAGGGUGGAAUUCCCAGUGUAGCGGUGAAAUGCGUAGAUAUCAGGAAGAACACCCGUGGCGAAGGCGGCUCUCUGGGACGGUACUGACGCUGAGACGCGAAAGCGUGGGGAGCGAACAGG